rnacentral:rRNA from 1 species
AACGAACGCUGGCGGCAUGCCUAACACAUGCAAGUCGAACGAGACCUUCGGGUCUAGUGGCGCACGGGUGCGUAACGCGUGGGAAUCUGCCCUUGGGUUCGGAAUAACAGAUGGAAACGACUGCUAAUACCGGAUGAUGACGUAAGUCCAAAGAUUUAUCGCCCAAGGAUGAGCCCGCGUAGGAUUAGCUAGUUGGUGAGGUAAAGGCUCACCAAGGCGACGAUCCUUAGCUGGUCUGAGAGGAUGAUCAGCCACACUGGGACUGAGACACGGCCCAGACUCCUACGGGAGGCAGCAGUGGGGAAUAUUGGACAAUGGGCGAAAGCCUGAUCCAGCAAUGCCGCGUGAGUGAUGAAGGCCUUAGGGUUGUAAAGCUCUUUUACCCGGGAUGAUAAUGACAGUACCGGGAGAAUAAGCCCCGGCUAACUCCGUG